rnacentral:rRNA from 1 species
AUUGAACGCUGGCGGCAGGCCUCACACAUGCAAGUCGAACGAGUGGCGGACGGGUGAGUAAUGUCUGGGAAACUGCCUGAUGGAGGGGGAUAACUACUGGAAACGGUAGCUAAACCCGCAUACCAUCGGAUGUGCACAGAUGGGAUUAGCUGGUGGGUGGGGUAAAGGCUCACCUAGGAGACGAUCCCUAGCUGGUCUGAGAGGAUGACCAGCCACACUGGAACUGGUACACGGUCCAGACGCCUACGGGAGGCAGCAGUGGGGAAUAUGGCACAAUGGGAGCAAGCCUGAUGCAGCCAUGCCGCGUGUAUGAAGAAGGCCUUCGGGUUGUAAAGUACUUUCAGCGGGGAGGCGUUACCCGCAGAAGAAGCACCGGCUAACUCCGUGCCAGCAGCCGCGGUAAUAC